rnacentral:rRNA from 1 species
UUUGUUGGGGUUGCGGACAUAUCAUAACGAAGAGGUAUCGUAAUUGAAGAGGUUUGGAAAGACCCACCACAGAAGGUAAUAGUCCUGUAUGUUAAACGAGAAGACUUUAGAUAUGAUCCAGAGUACCACGGGACACGUGAAACCCUGUGGGAAGCAGGAGGGACCACCCUCCAAGGCUAAAUACUACCUAGUGACCGAUAGCGUAUAGUACCGUGAGGGAAAGGUGAAAAGAACCCCGGGAGGGGAGUGAAAUAGAACCUGAAACCCUGCACUUACAAGCUGUGGAAGCACAUUUCUUGUGUGACCGCGUACUUUUUGUAGAACGGGCCAACGAGUUACGUUAAGUAGCAAGGUUAAGCACUUAAGGUGCGGAGCCGUAGCGAAAGCGAGUUUUAACUGAGCGUUCAGUUACUUGACGUAGACCCGAAACCGGGCGACCUACCCAUGAGCAGGAUGAAGCGAAAGUAAAAUUUCGUGGAGGUCCGAACCCACGAGCGUUGAAAAGCUCGGGGAUGACUUGUGGGUAGCGGUGAAAUUCCAAUCGAGCCCGGAGAUAGCUGGUUCUCCCCGAAAUAGCUUUAGGGCUAGCCUCAAGGUGAGAGAUACGGAGGUAGAGCACUGAAUGUCCUAGGGGGUAUUGCACCUACCGAAGACUAUCAAACUCCGAAUGCCGUCAUCUUAUACUUGGGAGUCAGACUGUGGGUGAUAAGAUUCAUAGUCGAAAGGGCAACAGCCCAGAUCGUCAGCUAAGGUCCCUAAAUGUAAGUUAAGUGGUAAAGGAUGUGGGAUUGCACAGACAACCAGGAUGUUGGCUUAGAAGCAGCCACUCAUUCAAAGAGUGCGUAAUAGCUCACUGGUCGAGUGAUCCUGCGCCGAAGAUUUCCGGGGCUAAAACUUACUACCGAAGCUACGGCAUCAGUAAUGAUGGGUAGGGGAGCUUCCCAUACGGGUUGAAGCAUGACCGUAAGGACAUGUGGACAGUAUGGGAGUGAGAAUGUUGGCAUGAGUAGCGAGAUGUGGGUGAGAAUCCCACAGGCCGUAAACCCAAGG